UACGGCCACAUCACGUUGAACCACCGGUUCCAGUAAGAUCACUGAAGUUAAGCAACGUCGUGCAUGGUUAAAUCUUAGAUGGGUGACCGUUCGGAAAUAGCAGGUGCCGUAUG